rnacentral:rRNA from 1 species
UACAGAGGUCUCGAGCGUUGUUCGGAUUCAUUGGGCGUAAAGGGUGCGUAGGUGGCGCUGUAAGUCAGGUGUGAAAUCCUGGAGCUCAACUCCAGAACUGCCUUUGAUACUGAGAGCUUGAGUCCGGGAGAGGUGAGUGGAACUGCGAGUGUAGAGGUGAAAUUCGUAGAUAUUCGCAAGAACACCAGUGGCGAAGGCGGCUCACUGGCCCGGUACUGACGCUGAGGUGCGAAAGCGUGGGGAGCAAACAGG